CACGUAGGGCGCAAGCGUUGUCCGGAAUUAUUGGGCGAAAGAGCUCGUAGGCGGUCUGUUGCGUCCGCUGUGAAAACUCGGAGCUCAACUCCGAGCCUGCGUUCGAUACUGGACGGCUAGAGUCUGGUAGGGGGAUCUGGAAUUCCUGGUGUAGCGGUGAAAUGCGCAGAUAUCAGGAGGAACACCGGUGGCGAAGGCGGCUUCCCUGGCCUGUUCUUGACGGCUGAGGCGCGGAAGGUCCAGGGGGAGCAAACGGGG
rnacentral:rRNA from 1 species